rnacentral:rRNA from 1 species
UACGUAGGGUGCGAGCGUUAAUCGGAAUUACUGGGCGUAAAGCGUGCGUAGGCGGUUCCUCAAGUCCGUUGUGAAAGCCCCGGGCUCAACCUGGGAAUGGCAGUGGAAACUAGGGGACUGGAAUCUGGCAGAGGGGGGUGGAAUGCCGCGUGUAGCAGUGAAAUGCGUAGAGAUGCGGCGGAACACCGAUGGCGAAGGCGGGUCUCUGGGCCGAUACUGACGCUGAGGAGCGAAAGCGUGGGGAGCGAACAGG